rnacentral:miRNA from 1 species
AGGUUUUUUGGUUUUGUUUU